GAUGAACGCUGGCGGCAGGCCUAACACAUGCAAGUCGAGCGGUAACAGAGAGUAGCUUGCUACUUUGCUGACGAGCGGCGGACGGGUGAGUAAUGCUUGGGAACAUGCCUUUAGGUGGGGGACAACAGUUGGAAACGACUGCUAAUACCGCAUAACGUCUACGGACCAAAGGGGGCUUCGGCUCUCGCCUAAAGAUUGGCCCAAGUGGGAUUAGCUAGUUGGUGAGGUAAUGGCUCACCAAGGCAACGAUCCCUAGCUGGUUUGAGAGGAUGAUCAGCCACACUGGAACUGAGACACGGUCCAGACUCCUACGGGAGGCAGCAGUGGGGAAUAUUGCACAAUGGGCGAAAGCCUGAUGCAGCCAUGCCGCGUGUGUGAAGAAGGCCUUCGGGUUGUAAAGCACUUUCAGUCAGGAGGAAAGGUUAGUAGUUAAUACCUGCUAGCUGUGACGUUACUGACAGAAGAAGCACCGGCU
rnacentral:rRNA from 1 species